AAUGCUUAGAUCUUAAAAUUAAUUGUUUGGAAAUUUGUUUUAUUUGUGUAAAAUAAGUUAAAUUAAUUUUAUGGUGUGAUAAAUUAUUCGUUGAGCAUUAUAUCUAUUUAGUUACUUUAUAAUUUUUAGUUAUAUAUUAAGCUAUGAGGUUUGAUAUAGUUUUAUAUUUGUUAUUUGUAUUUAUUAACAUUAGGUUAAAGGUACCUUAUGUUUGUGAGUUUGUUAUAAAUUUAAUAUAAGUGUUUUUUAUAAUUAAAUAUAUUGGUAACUUGUUGUUAAUAUUUGGUUUAUAUGUAUUAGUAAAUAAGUAAUUGUAUUAUACUAAUUAUUUCUCAGGGUCUUUCCGUCUGUUUAUUAAAAACAUUUCUAACUUUAAAUUUAGUUAGUAGUGCCUGCUCAGUGUUUUAUAAAUAGCCGCAGUAUAUUGACUGUGCGAAGGUAGCAUAAUUAAUUGCCUUUUAAAUGGAGGCUUGUUUGAAUGGUUUGACGUGAGAGAUUUGAAUAUUUGGUA
rnacentral:rRNA from 1 species